rnacentral:pre_miRNA from 1 species
AGUGGAAUUGCUAAGUCACAUGAUAACUCUAUGUUUCAUAUUUUGCAAAAGUCCAAACUGUUUUCUAAAGUGUCUGCAUCAUUUUAUAUUCCCACCAGCAAU